CAGUAGUAGGAAUGUACUGAGAUUGGUUAUGUUAUACAACUUGUACAUUCUGAAGUAGACUCAUCAGCUACUUGUACUGCUCAUGGGUUGUGGUGGCAGAAGUGGCUUGACAUGGAGUAGAGAAGUCAUGAGAACACUCAGUUUUAGCUUCUGCGGAUGGCUGCACAUUUGCAUAAACAUUUACUAUGACCCUUCUAUUUUUAUUACUAGAUCAAAAGUUGAAAUUCUGUGGGAAACCACUCAAUUUAUAACAUUUGUCUUACAAUAGUUGCAGAAUUGUCUUUUAGGAUCAGAAACUCAUCUAUGGUUGUUGAAGUUGUACUUUUGAUCAUACAAGUUAGUUGGAUGUGAUAUGGGAUUUUGACUUUGACUUUGAGAGGAACCCACAGAGAAGUUGGUAUCUGGCUGAAAAUGAGGGACAUUUUGGAUACCUCUUUGUUUCUGGUCUUGCAUAACCGGAGAAUAAGCUUUAUUGACUUCAAGAAGAGGUUCCAUCAUGAGUAUAUAUAUUUCCCCUAGCAUUGUUAAAACCCUCAUUUAGUCCUAUUAGAAAUGCAUAAACUUCUGAUUUUGUUCAUUUUUUAUCAUCUUAUGCAUACCCUCACAACUGCACUAAUAAAAACAAUAAGAAUCAAAACUAAGAGACUCUAUUUGUUCUCAAAGUCUCUUCACUUUGUUGAAAUACCUAGCCACAUCAGAUGAUCCUUGAGAUACAAAACUCAAAUCUUUCUAGACCCUAUACUUCGAACCCCAUCAGAUUGACCAUAUCGCUAGUUCAACUUAUCCCAUAUACCAUUAGCAGUUUUAGAGUAUAUAACACUUUAGGACAUAUCGGGAUCAAGAGAAUUAAGGAUCCAGCUUAUAACUAUGUUAUUACACUAUUCUGAAUGUUCGUAUAAAGGGGAAUCAAGAGAAGGCUAGGUAUAAGUUCCAUUAAUAAAACCUAUUUUUUUAGCGGACAAAGCUAUGAUAAUUCCUCUCCUCCAGGCUCAAAGUAAGUUCCGUUGAAUUGCAUAGCCACAAGUACUACGCUUGGGUUGUUAGAAGGACUUAGAUAAAAAGGAUGAGAAAUAGAGAGAGAAGGGGGGUAAUUCUUCUAAUUUAGUACCAGUACUAGAGGCAUCGCCAGGCUCAACAUCAGAUCCCAUUGUGUAAAGUAUUUCUACCAAGAAACACCAGAUACACACCAAACACACACCCGCAAUGACAACACAGAAGAUAUACUGACACUAUAAGCAAUUGACAAAAUCUUACGAGUAAUGGAGAGAAAACAUCUAAACAAAAGAGAACUAGUGCACUGAACUAUCAAAUCUGGUAGAAUCUCCAGCACCCGAAAAUCACCAACAAUAACAAAUUGAUAAUGAACUCUACUAGAAAUUAGGAAUCUCGAUGGAAAAAUGCUCAAUUCUAUUCAAAACUCCAUUAAAUUUCUCAAUUUGCAAUAGAAGAUAAAAAAAAUAGGGUUUGUCGAAUUAAGAAUUCAUCAUGAAGGGAAAUUCACCAUGAAAAUCAAAGCAAUAGGUCAUCCAAACUUUGAUUCUAAUAAGUGGGGAUUUUGCCAACUUAUUAGCACCUUUUUGCUUUUGUUUUAGUUCGAACGUAUUGAUUUAUGUUCCCGAAACUAAUAAAAUUGCUUAAAUUGCAAGAAUAUUGGAAGUUUGGUCUCCCAUAAUGAAACUCC
rnacentral:lncRNA from 1 species